UACGAAGGGUGCAAGCGUUGUUCGGAAUUACUGGGCGUAAAGGGCGUGUAGGUGGAUAGAUUAGUCAGGAGUGAAAUCCCGGAGCUUAACUUCGGAACUGCUUUUGAAACGGUCUGUCUUGAGUGUAGCAGGGGAUAAUGGAACACCCAGUGUAGAGGUAAAAUUCGUAGAUAUUGGGUAGAACACCAGAGGCGAAGGCGAUUAUCUGGGCUAUAACUGACGCUGAGGCGCGAAAGCGUGGGGAU
rnacentral:rRNA from 1 species